rnacentral:rRNA from 1 species
UUGCGGUUAAAAAGCUCGUAGUUGGAUUUCUGCCGAGGACGACCGGUCCGCCCUCUGGGCGUGCAUCUGGCUUGGCCUGGGCAUCUUCUUGGAGAACGUAGCUGCACUUGACUGUGUGGUGCGGUAUCCAAGACUUUUACUUUGAGGAAAUUAGAGUGUUUCAAGCAGGCGCACGCCUUGAAUACAUUAGCAUGGAAUAAUAAGAUAGGACCUCGGUUCUAUUUUGUUGGUUUCUAGAGCUGAGGUAAUGAUUAAUAGGGAUAGU